rnacentral:rRNA from 1 species
UCCGGUGGUUUUGUCGGAGAGGCCAUACCCGAUCCCAUCCCGAACUCGGAAGUCAAGCUCUCUGGAGCCGAUGGUACUGCACGGUUGGCCGUGUGGGAGAGUAGGACGCCGCCGGGC